AUUGAACGCUGGCGGCAGGCCUAACACAUGCAAGUCGAACGGCAGCGGGGGGUAGCUUGCUACCCCGCCGGCGAGUGGCGGACGGGUGAGUAAUGCCUGGGGAGCUGCCCAAUCGAGGGGGAUACCAGUUGGAAACGACUGCUAAUACCGCAUACGCCCUGAGGGGGAAAGGUGGGGAUCUUCGGACCUACCGCGAUUGGAUGCACCCAGGUGGGAUUAGCUUGUUGGUAAGGUAAGAGCUUACCAAGGCGACGAUCAGUAUCUGGUUUGAGAGGACGAUCAGACACACUGGAACUGAGACACGGUCCAGACUCCUACGGGAGGCAGCAGUGGGGAAUUUUCCGCAAUGGGCGAAAGCCUGACGGAGCAAUACCGCGUGAGGGAAGAAUGCCUAUGGGUUGUAAACCUCUUUUUUCAGGGAGGAAUAAAAUGACGUGUACCUGAAGAAUAAGCAUCGGCUAACUCCGUG
rnacentral:rRNA from 1 species